rnacentral:misc_RNA from 1 species
GAUGAAGAACGUAGCGAAAUGCGAUAAGUAGUGUGAAUUGCAGACUUUAGUGAAUCAUCGAAUCUUUGAACGCACAUUGCGCCCGCCAGUAUUCUGGCGGGCAUGCCUGUUCGAGCGUCAUUUCAACCAUCAAGCCCCCGGCUUGUGUUGGGGACCUGCGGCUGCCGCAGGCCCUGAAAACCAGUGGCGGGCUCGCUAGUCACUCCGAGCGUAGUAAUACAUCUCGCUCAGGGCGUGCUGCGGGUUCCGGCCGUUAAAAAGCCUUAUUUACCCAAGGUUGACCUCGGAUCAGGUAGGAAGACCCGCUGAACUUAAGCAUAUCAAUAAGCGGAGGA